UGCUGAGAUUAAAUCUGGGCCGUGUAAACUCACAAAAAGAACCGCUCUAAUGGCGGUUCAGGGCAGUUAUCGGUAGUUUUCUGCAGGUGGUUUUGCUCCAAAAUUUUCUGCCCAUGAUCUCCACUUCUCAGUAGGUUUUCUCCUUAUUUUAAGAUCUAUUAUCUCCAAACAACUCCUACAAAUCUGGGUCAGUUGAGAUGAUCUAUUGCUAUAUAAUGCACCUACAUGUAACAAAUUUAAUCAUUAAUUUAUAUAUGUUAGCGUCUGUUUCUCUUUCUCAAAUCAAAUCAUGUUUCUCGGUGUAUCUUCUUGCGGAAUGGCACUGUCAUCUAUCUAGAAGGCACCAUCGAAUUGGUCAUUCUUCUUUCUCUUAUAGCCGAAAUUUCAUAGUCAACGUACCAUGGAUUUAUGCGACAAGUUUGCCUCCAUUGAUUCUCAUUAUCAUUGCUUCCACAACAAAGAACCAGAUGCAAAAGAACAAUUCCAAGGGAUGACGAAAUUGAGGAAUCAUCAACCUUCCUCUCAAUUGGAUUAUUCUGGAUCCUCUAAGGAACGAUUGUUCAACCAUCUAAGGGUCUUGAGAUGCUUGAUGUCAAAAAUGCCACAAGAAGCACUAUCUACCUGCCUUACGAUGUCAUGAGAUUCUGCCAGCUUCCAUUCAGCUGCUGCCCUUCAUUGAGAAAAACACCAAGUGUCUGGUCACAGACAGGGCACCGGACAAGCUGUAAAUCUGAGCACACCAUUCCAUUCCAUUUGGGAGAUGAGUAACAAUGAAUAUUGAUCAUGCUUUGAAGAGAGUUUUGCAAGAUAUUACUACGCAUCCAUAUUUAUCGUUAAGCAUUAGUGAAGCUUAUUGGCAAGCUCUCAGUUGAAACCCCUACAGGUGAACAUACUUUGAGAGUCUUGAUACAAACAGCCAAAGAUCACCGAAUAUAUUGCAACAUUACAGAAUCGGAAAAAGAACUUCUCAAAUCAAGUGCAAAACUUAUUGUGCAUUUCAAUGUCUCUACAUAUGCAUGAUAUAUGUAAUAUAUCACCCAACCCCCACCCACCCCACCCCACUGUUGAUGUGGCACAUAUUAAUGUGGUAUUUAAUCAAUAUGCAUGGCAAGAUAAGCAACACCACGAGAGCAAAAAGUCCACCGAUGGCAAGCCAAGUUCCACCUCCAAAUUUUUUCUAUCUUUCGCUUUUACAUGUUUUAACUCCUAAUUGUUUUGUGGUUUUAAAAUAUUACAGCAAGGCGGCAACGAAGCUGGGUGGCUUGGAUUAAACCGUUGAUGAACAAGAUACAAGUGGUAGUGAGAUUGCUUUGCUGCUCCAAUCUGGUCAAGUGGCCACUGCUCAUAUCAAGUGGCAUUAUUGAAACUCUCCCAACCUACUCUGAAGAUAACAAUGGACAUUAGGGCUUGAUCAAAUACAACUCUAAACAUGGUUGCAUGCCAAUCACAGUACCCAUCAUUUGAGGUUUCAAGAGAUGGAAAGGGUAAACUAGGAGAGAUUUCCAUUGAAGACCUGCCAAGUGUCUUGAAGCUGAGAAAUGAACUUUGCCUAGCGCGCAUGCGCACACACACCCCGGACGUGUAUACAACUAAUGUUUUUGUUUGGAAUGCAAAGGAAAAGAUACUUAUGUUAUUAUGACAUUAAAAAGCUCGUCCACUCGAGGUAACAAGGAUAAAGUAAGACAAUAAACCCUUUGGAUAUUUGUGGUUAAAGAAUUGGGUGAAAGCUGGUAACCCAACUUGGGAGAAUUAGUGUAACUUUAUUUUGCCAUGUUUGGGGAUAUGAGACUAUGAGUAUAUGAAUCUUUGGUGUAUAGUUGGUGUAACAUUAUGUUUAAUAGCUGGUUAACCAAAACUAUAUGGAUAAAAUUUCGUUGGUCUUUCAAAAAAAUAUUACCUUAAGUAUCGGGUCAACGGACGGGUAUAAAACUAUGUUUUUUUUAGUUCAACGAAAUCACCACUCUUUGGUCUUUCCCCAAACAGUGGGCUUAUGCUUUUAAUAUAUAUGAAUGAUAUUUAUGGUUUUAAUGUGUUAUGAAUACUAUGGUUAUUUCAUAAACUUGUGUAUUUAUUAUGAUAUAUUUUUUAUUUUAUUAUACCAUUAAUAUGCCCGUUCAUCGGACGGGUAUAGAACUAACUUCAGACGAAAACCAGGUUCAAGCGUAGGUGUUGGAGCCCUAAUUUCAAACGGAAAACAUCGCUUGGGUUUUGGUUGAUGAGCAUAUAAAGCUACGCGCUUUCGAAUGGGCGGUGGUCGAUGUUGGUAGCUGACGGUAAGUUUGGGGAUUUGUGGUAGUAAGCAGUGUGGAUGCCUUAAAAAUGGAUACUGGUGGAGUGGAUGACACGUGUGGGACAUUGUUACGCUGUUAGCGUAACCCGUCCACCGGACGGGUAUUAAACUAGUUUAUGAUUGAUGGUGUUGAAAAUUUUACAAUCAUGAGUGCAGAGAGGAAAGUUUUGUUACAUGAGACCAUGGAAAGUUUUGUUACAUUAGACCAUGAUGGUAAAGGAAGACCCUUGGGCAUUA